rnacentral:lncRNA from 1 species
AUGUGCAGACUCCGCUGGAAUUGGCUUAACUCCGUGUGCGCACACCUGUGGAUGAAGAGCCAGAGUCCCCCAAGGUCAAUGCUGCUGGCCAGUGGCCUGGUGUCUGCAUUAACAGAACAUCUGCAACGCCCUCAAAGCCCAUGGCCACUCUCUAGUCCAGAGGAGAAAAGGAUAAUAAAUAUCACACUAAACAACAUGGAAUACUUCUCAAGUCACCAGAAAGAGGCAUCUGGCUUAGAGCAGUGUGAGGUCAGCCAGCAAAGGGGUGACUUGGACCUUCCUGACCUUCCCCUCUCAGAUCCUAUAAAGGAUGUGGUGGUCCUGCCUGGAGAAUCCAUGUCCCUGUUAAGAUGCAGUGCCCGCCUUCAGCGAGUUUAAAAGGAGGAUGCUGGACAUGUGGAAAGAAGAAACCUGGUGGCCUUGGCCUGGGAAUAUGGCGGUUCCAAGCACAAUGCUGUACUGAAAUGGUACCAGAAGACAGAAGGUUACGCG